UAGAGUUUGAUCCUGGCUCAGAACGAACGCUGGCGGCAUGCCUAACACAUGCAAGUCGAACGAGACCUUCGGGUCUAGUGGCGCACGGGUGCGUAACGCGUGGGAAUCUGCCCUUGGGUUCGGGAUAACAGUUGGAAACGACUGCUAAUACCGGAUGAUGUCUUCGGACCAAAGAUUUAUCGCCCAGGGAUGAGCCCGCGUCGGAUUAGCUAGUUGGUGAGGUAAAGGCUCACCAAGGCGACGAUCCGUAGCUGGUCUGAGAGGAUGAUCAGCCACACUGGGACUGAGGCACGGCCCAGACUCCUACGGGAGGCAGCAGUGGGGAAUAUUGGACAAUGGGCGAAAGCCUGAUCCAGCAAUGCCGCGUGAGUGAUGAAGGCCUUAGGGUUGUAAAGCUCUUUUACCCGGGAUGAUAAUGACAGUACCGGGAGAAUAAGCCCCGGCUAACUCCGUGCCAGCAGCCCCGGUCAA
rnacentral:rRNA from 1 species